GACAGAGGGUGCAAGCGUUGUUCGGAAUCAUUGGGCGUAAAGGGCGCGUAGGCGGUUUUGUAAGUCGGAUGUGAAAGCCCAGGGCUUAACCUUGGAAGUGCAUCCGAAACUGCAUAACUGGAGUCUCGGAGAGGGUGGUGGAAUUCCCAGUGUAGAGGUGAAAUUCGUAGAUAUUGGGAGGAACACCGGUGGCGAAGGCGACCACCUGGACGAAGACUGACGCUGAGGCGCGAGAGCGUGGGGAGCAAACAGG
rnacentral:rRNA from 1 species